rnacentral:lncRNA from 1 species
AGCACAAACUGUCUCUAACCAGAAUAGAAAGAGGAGUGGGAGGCCCCAUUGCACAACUGAGCAAGAGGACAAGUACAUUAGAGUGUCUAGUUUGAGAAACAGACUCCUCACAAGUCAUCAACUGGCAGCUUCAUUAAAUAGUACCCGCAAAACACCACUCUCAACGUCAACAGUAAAGAGGCGAUUCCGGGAUUCUGGCCUUCUAGGAAAGAAGGCAAAAUAAACUGUUUUCACUAUUCAGUAGGAGAGAGGUAGUCAUGUGAUCAUGAUGACGCUGUUUGUGGUUGCGAUGGUGACGUACUAGAACCAUAACGGGGGGCACCAUGCGGAGGGUCUGCUGACUGUGUCCCACUUCUCUACUUCUCUGUUUGUGGGGUUGAGCCCUAUGGUGGUGGCUCUGGGAAAUGACAAGCUGAGGAGGGUCAAAUGUCAACAGGAGGAAAUAGUGGAGGAAUGCAGAGCUCCAGACACAAUGGGAAAGAAGAGCAAACAAGACAGAACAUGUAACAACAACUAUCUAUAGAUAGGAGUGCCCUUUCACGUAAGUCUAUACAUCAUAAACAUUCUGUCGCUCACAAAAGAGCAGGUUUCCAGAAAUAAAUUGUGUUAACGUAGUCUCACUGACAAACAAACAGUGGUCUUCCUCAGUGAUCAAUACAUUCUUAGAAAUUGUCAUAAAAUAAUAAAUGAAUGGGUUUGACUCUCAUAGCACCAUGUUAAAACAGUCUGCCUAAGAGGAUCAAAAUGGUUGCCAAUGGUUAAACUGAUGAUGACCUGAGGCCGAAACGUUUGUGUUUUGUUUUCACUUUCAUUUAUGCACUUUCUUGCACUUUUUGGGCACCAUGCAGUGGCGGUUCUAGACCAUUUCAACUGGGGGGGCCAAGCAGGGGCCAGUUGUACUGUUAGAGGGGCAAGUUACAUUAGACGUUAUUCUUGACAUCGUUUUCUUCACUGCAUUGCAGGCAUUAGCAGGCAGAAGACCAUGUUCAUAAUCAUCAUCGUUGCCACUGUCUAAUAACGGAUGUAAAAAAAGAAUGAUAGCAAAAAUGAGUUACUGUAUGUAAAAAUGUAUUCAUACUCCACAUUUAGGGGGGCCACAAGGGGGUCCAAAAUUGUUGUCACAGGGGCACUGGAACCCCCCCAG